rnacentral:rRNA from 1 species
GACGAACGCUGGCGGCGUGCUUAACACAUGCAAGUCGAACGGAAAGGCCCUGCUUUUGUGGGGUGCUCGAGUGGCGAACGGGUGAGUAACACGUGAGUAACCUGCCCUUGACUUUGGGAUAACUUCAGGAAACUUGGGCUAAUACCGGAUAGGAUCUCCUGCUGCAUGGUGGGGGUUGGUAAGUUUCGGCGGUUGGGGAUGGACUCGCGGCUUAUCAGCUUGUUGGUGGGGUAGUGGCUUACCAAGGCUUUGACGGGUAGCCGGCCUGAGAGGGUGACCGGCAACAUAGGGACUGAGAUACGGCCCAGACUCAUACGGGCGGAAGAAGUGGGGAAUAUUGAAGAAAGGGCGGAAGAAUGAUGGAGCAACGCCGCGUGCGGGAGGACGGCACUCGGGUGGGAAACAGAUUUCGACUGUGACGAAGGGUGAGUGAAGGAAAUGGGGAAAGAAGCACCGGCUAACUACGU